ACUACGGGAGGCAGCAGUGAGGAAUAUUGGUCAAUGGGCUUACGCCUGAACCAGCCAAGUCGCGUGAGGGAAGACUGCCCUAUGGGUUGUAAACCUCUUUUGUCAGGGAGCAACGCCGGCUACGUGUAGCCGGCCUGAGAGGACCUGAAGAAAAAGCAUCGGCUAACUCCGUGCCAGCAGCCGCGGAAAUACGGAGGAUGCGAGCGUUAUCCGGAUUUAUGUGGGUUAAAGGGUGCGUAGGCGGAAUGCCAAGUCAGCGGUAAAAUCGCGGGGCUCAACCUCGCUCCGCCGUUGAAACUGGCGUUCUGGCGGGGGCGAGAAGUAUGCGGAAUGCGUGGUGUAGCGGUGAAAUGCAUAGAUAUCACGCAGAACUCCGAUUGCGAAGGCAGCAUACCGGCGCCCAACUGACGCUGCCGCACGAACGCGUGGGUAUCGAACAGGAUUAGAUACCCCUGUAGUC
rnacentral:rRNA from 1 species